CCUACGGGGGGCAGCAGUGGGGAAUAUUGGACAAUGGGGGGAACCCUGAUCCAGCCAUGCCGCGUGUGUGAAGAAGGCCCUCGGGUUGUAAAGCACUUUCAGUGAGGAAGAACGCCUGGUGGUUAAUACCCAUCAGGAAAGACAUCACUCACAGAAGAAGCACCGGCUAACUCCGUGCCAGCAGCCGCGGUAAUACGGAGGGUGCGAGCGUUAAUCGGAAUUACUGGGCGUAAAGCGCGCGUAGGUGGCUUGAUAAGCCGGUUGUGAAAGCCCCGGGCUCAACCUGGGAACGGCAUCCGGAACUGUCAAGCUAGAGUGCGGGAGAGGAAGGUAGAAUUCCCGGUGUAGCGGUGAAAUGCGUAGAGAUCGGGAGGAAUACCAGUGGCGAAGGCGGCCUUCUGGACUGACACUGACACUGAGGUGCGAAAGCGUGGGUAGCAAACAGGAUUAGAUACCCGGGUAGUC
rnacentral:rRNA from 1 species